rnacentral:tRNA from 1 species
AGAAAGGUAGGUUAGUUUAAACCUCUGAAUUGUGGUUUCGGGAAUGUCAGAAGACCCUUUUUU